GACGAACGCUGGCGGCGUGCUUAACACAUGCAAGUCGAACGGGAAGGCCGUGCUUAUGUGGGGUGCUCGAGUGGCGAACGGGUGAGUAACACGUGAGUACCCAGCCCUUGACUUUGGGAUAACUUAAGGAAACUGGGGCUAAUACCGGAUAGGAGCUCCUGCUGCAUGGUGGGGGUUGGAAAGUUUCGGCGGUUGGGGGUGGACUCGCGGCGUAUCAGCUUGUUGGUGUGGUAGUGGCUUACCAAGGCUUUGACGGGUAGCCGGCCUGCGAGGGUGAGCCGCCACAUUGGACCGGAGAUGCGGCACAGACUCCUCCGGGAGGCAGCAGUGGAGUAUGUUACACUAGGGGCUGAAGCCUGAUGCAGCCACGCCGCGUGCGGUAUGAUGGCCUUCGGGUUGGGAUCCGCUUUCGCCUGUGACGAAGCGUUAGUGACGGUAAUGGGUAAAGAAGCACCGGCUAACUACGUG
rnacentral:rRNA from 1 species